UACGUAGGGUGCAAGCGUUGUCCGGAAUUAUUGGGCGUAAAGAGCUCGUAGGCGGUCUGUCGCGUCGAGUGUGAAAAUCCGGGGCUCAACCCCGGACCUGCACUCGAUACGGGCAGACUAGAGUUCGGUAGGGGAGUCUGGAAUUCCUGGUGUAGCGGUGAAAUGCGCAGAUAUCAGGAGGAACACCGGUGGCGAAGGCGGGACUCUGGGCUGAUACUGACGCUCAUGCACGAAAGCGUGGGGAGCAAACAGG
rnacentral:rRNA from 1 species